rnacentral:misc_RNA from 1 species
GAUGAAGAACGCAGCGAAAUGUGAUAAGUAGUGUGAAUUGCAGAAUUCAGUGAAUCAUCGAAUCUUUGAACGCACAUUGCGCCCUUUGGUAUUCCAAAGGGCAUGCCUGUUCGAGCGUCAUUUGUACCCUCAAGCUUUGCUUGGUGUUGGGCGUCUUGUCUCUAGCUUUGCUGGAGACUCGCCUUAAAGUAAUUGGCAGCCGGCCUACUGGUUUCGGAGCGCAGCACAAGUCGCACUCUCUAUCAGCAAAGGUCUAGCAUCCAUUAAGCCUUUUUUUCAACUUUUGACCUCGGAUCAGGUAGGGAUACCCGCUGAACUUAAGCAUAUCAAUAAGCGGAGGA